GAGGCUUAGCUCAGUUGGGAGAGCGUCUGCCUUACAAGCAGAGGGUCGGGGGUUCGAGUCCCUCAGCCUCC
rnacentral:tRNA from 2 species